UACGGGGGGUGCGAGCGUUGUCCGGAAUUACUGGGCGUAAAGCGUGCGCAGGCGGUUUUUUAAGACAGGCGUGAAAUCCCCGGGCUUAACCUGGGAACUGCGCUUGUGACUGGAAGGCUAGAGUACGGCAGAGGGGGGUGGAAUUCCACGUGUAGCAGUGAAAUGCGUAGAGAUGUGGAGGAACACCGAUGGCGAAGGCAGCCCCCUGGGCCGAUACUGACGCUCAUGCACGAAAGCGUGGGGAGCAAACAGG
rnacentral:rRNA from 1 species